CAGUCGCCACGGGAACACGUAGGGGGCGAGCGUUGUCCGAAGUUACUGGGCGUAAAGCGCGCGUAGGCGGCUUCUUAAGUCUGAGGUGAAAGGUUCAACGCUUAACGUGAACAGUGCCUUGGAUACUGGGGAGCUUGAGUAUGGGAGAGGGCAGUGGAAUGGCUGGUGUAGCGGUGAAAUGCGUAGAUAUCAGUCGGAACACCCAUGGCGAAGGCAGCUGCCUGGCCUAAUACUGACGCUGAGGUGCGAAAGCGUGGGGAGCGAACGGGAUUAGAUACCCCGUAGUCCCUGUCUCUUAUAC
rnacentral:rRNA from 1 species